GGCUCAGGAUGAACGCUAGCUACAGGCUUAACACAUGCAAGUCGAGGGGCAGCAUGGUCUUAGCUUGCUAAGGCCGAUGGGCGACCGGCGCACGGGUGAGUAACACGUAUCCAACCUGCCGUCUACUCUUGGACAGCCUUCUGAAAGGAAGGAUUAAUACAAGAUGGGCAUCAUGAGUCCGCAUGUUCACAUGAUUAAAGGUAUUCCGGUAGACGAUGGGGAUGCGUUCCAUUAGAUAGUAGGCGGGGUAACGGCCCACCUAGUCUUCGAUGGAUAGGGGUUCUGAGAGGAAGGUCCCCCACAUUGGAACUGAGACACGGUCCAAACUCCUACGGGAGGCAGCAGUGGGGAAUAUUGGUCAAUGGGCGAGAGCCUGAACCAGCCAAGUAGCGUGAAGGAUGACUGCCCUAUGGGUUGUAAACUUCUUUUAUAAAGGAAUAAAGUCGGGUAUGGAUACCCGUUUGCAUGUACUUUAUGAAUAAGGAUCGGCUAACUCCGUG
rnacentral:rRNA from 1 species